rnacentral:rRNA from 1 species
AUGGUCCAGCCGAUGCGUAUGCCGCCGCCGACCUACGAGUACGACGACUACGACCCCACGAGGGGCACGAUCUCCUGCUUCACGGACCACGGCCUCGCCGAUGACCCCAUCUCGGCCGCCACGCUCGAGGCCCUCCGCGUCAUCCUCGUCGGCCACUACGACGAAGCGUUCCGGCGGCUGCCCGUCGAGGACAUGCCGGACGGUCUAGACCUGGCCCAGCUCGCCGACCGCGGUGGCUUCUGCCUCGGCCUCCUUGACCCCGUUACCAACAUCGUCCUCAACACCAUCUCCCUCCUCCCACACGGAUUCGAGUUCGACGCAAACCCUAGCCCGCCGCCAUCCGGAACAGGACGCAGGAUCAGGAUGCCCUCGGACCCCCGAAACGCGAGUGCAUGGCACGGCGUCGCGUGCAGGUCCAUUGGGUGCCUCCUCGAGUUCAUGCGGGCCUACUUCGGACUGCUCAGCGAGGAGCAAGCCGGGCGGUACCUCGUCUGGGCGCGUGCCGACAUCGCCAUGGCGGUUCUGCUCGUCGAGCACGAGCUCUACGUCGCCCGGCCUUCGCCGCCGGACCCUCGCUCCGGGAGGACGCGGCAGUCUCUCAGGCUCGCGGCUAUGCACGUCCAACACCCUUCACCGGACAGCCUCGUGUCGCUCGCGACGGCGUGGCUUCCACCGCAGAAGAUCGAGAUACUUGCCCCCAUCCUACGACACGACGGCGGUCGGAAUAGGCUGGCUGUCCAAGACGUAAGGAACAUCCUCCACGUGCUGCGCCACCAAGAAGACAUCUCCGCCACGGCUACAUUGCAGUCACCGCCGCCGCUUGAAGAAGGCACUACGAGCUGCAUCUACCUUGGAGAUGGCCGGAUCGCGUACACCACCAUUGUCCAGCGAGCCGGCGACCACAUCGCAUCUCUACGGCGUCCUCAAGACACGCAGUCCAUGCUAAUCUCUUACUCCAUGGCACCAUCAUCGGCGGCACACACGACGGCGGGUCCGCGCGACUCCCCUUGCGCGUACUUUGGGUCUCUCGACGUGGACAACACCCGACAAUGCCCGUACGUAAGGUCUCUGGAGAUGUCCCUCCUGGGCACUAUCCAUGGAUUCUACCUCACGGCGCUCGCCAUGCUGCCAAGCUACGCCGCGCGUCACCAUGUACGCGGCGUCCUCCUCGCCGGACACUGCUACGGCCCCAUGGACCCUGUCUCCAACAUCAUCCUCAGCACCGUCUGGUAUGACGCGAACUUCCCACUCCCCGUGGCUGAUCGUGGGAUGCAGGCGCACGACAUCCUUGACACCCUCACCAUGCUCAGGGUGGUCACUAGCUCCCUGCACGGCCUCAUAGCUCUCCUGCACGCCAACUCCGGCAAGCAUCUGUCGUUGCACGAGAUCUUGAAGUACCUCUGCUACAGGAAGUGCGACUUGGCCACCAUGUUACAGCCACAUCUACACCGGAGCUCUCCCAACCCUUUUGCCAGCGCCGCCGCUGCUGCUCGUCACCCGCAAGCGUCCGCUUGGGCAACAUUUCUUUCAUCAUUGGCGCCGACAAAGCUAGACCAGAUACGGUCCUUGAUGAUUAGUGCCACUGCCAACAACACCGUGCUUUCUUACGAGUCUUUGACACAGAUAUACAACAUCCUCAGAGAGGAAACCCGGACGGCGAUGAUUCUGCCGGCUCCCAGACUCUGUCGGACGGCGGUGAGCAUUCUCACAAGAAAGAGGGAGGCCUAUGCUCACCAGCAGAGCUUCAUUCGCGGUCGUUGCUACUACGGCCAGGAGUCCGCUCGUAAGCUCGCCUAUCCGGAUGACUCCAUCGACUAUUUGUCACGCGACAUUACUCCUGGCGGACUAGAUGACACGGAAGGCAUACUAGACACGGACUUUUUGUAUUUCAACUCCGAGAGGGACGUCGAACUUGCCAAGGUCUUGCAGAGGAUGGGCAAGAAAGAAGAGGUCCUCCAAAGGUCCUCUACUGGAAGGCGUGCUGAAUGGACCGCCGGUGUUCCUCUGUGUUAG